rnacentral:tRNA from 3 species
UUUCCGCUGAAUGUAGUGGCCAAGCAUAGGGGCCUUUGGAGCCCUUGACCCCAGUUCGAAUCUGGGCCGGGCUA